GCAUGCGUAAUGGUGCUUUAAAUAAUCGACUUAAUAGUAAAUAAAUGUACAUUAUUUACUUUUUAAAUAAAGUUCAAUACCACAAAUGAUGGCUCGGAGUGAGAACUCCUAACCACUUAAUAUGAAUCGGGACAAUCAGUGUGACGAACAACGUUCCGCCUGACUCCUCAACACGGAGUUAUUUUGUCGAAGGAUCCAGGAAGUGUGCCCCCUACAAAGUGCGGCUGAAAGUUUCUACCGCAUUUAAUUUUGAUGAAUAGCGCACUAGUUCAUGAAAUAGUAAGAUAUGGCGACACAGCGUUACGUUUCUUGCAUCUUAUGCCAGCGGGCAAGCGUCGUGAGGAGGAUAGCGACGAUAAGGAGUUUGAGCGUAGCUGCAAACCCGCAGUCCAAACCAGAUUUUCUCAAAGGAGAACCACACAAACGACAUCCGGGGCUGACCCACCUCAAAACACUCCGUCUGCCUGAGGAACUCCUGAUGGCCGCCCGCUCAAUUAUCCACAGAUCUCAGGUGGCGCAGCUUCCCGACCGAGCUCGCAAGUUGACCAACUUCUUGUGGAGCAGGAAGCGAGCCACGGAGGACUCGGCCGUGAGGAAGAUGGCGGUGAGUCUGGAGAAGGAACUGUGGGAGAAGGCCAUGGAGAAAGGAGGAGAUUUAGACGAGCAAGCCAUAGCUGACCGCAUCCAGAGGAGGGUGUUGUCUGACCUCCGCCGGACAUUUUAUCACUGGACUCCAUUGAAGUAUGACGAGGAGCUCGGUGCGGUUUACAUGGCAGCCAAGAUGGCUGGAGGCUACGCUGCCGUGAGGAGGGCUCUCAACGAGAUAAAGAAGCGUGAUCCCACCUUUGCUCCUCAGUCCGUCCUGGAUUUCGGGUCCGGGCUGGGAACGGUGGCCUGGGCAUCCCACGCUUGCUGGUCUGACACACUGAAUGAGCUGGUGUGUGUGGACAGAUCAGGGCCUAUGAACAUUCUGGCAGAACGGCUUCUUAAAGGUGACGACGAACAUGCUGAAACUCACAUCAAACACGUCUACUUCAGACAGUUCCUCCCCGUGUCCCCCAAGGUGCAGUUUGACUUGGUGUCGUCUGCCUUCACGUUGUCGGAAAUUCCCAACGCGCAAGAGCGGCAAGAGGCAGUUGUCACGCUGUGGAGAAAGACUGCCACCUACCUGCUAUUGGUGGAAAACGGCACCAAAGAAGGUCAUCAAAUGCUAAUGGAGGCCCGAGACACUCUUUUACAAAACAAAGACAAAACCGUCUAUGACACCAGACCGGCUUCGGUGUUUGCACCGUGUCCACACGAAGCCACGUGUCCCAAACUCAAGUUAGCGUCUGUCACGCCUUGCAACUUCCAGCAGUUGUACAUGCCGCUAUAUGGGUUGUUGUUUUUUAAAGCACAACAGUCAGACAGAGAAGUUCAGCUACCUGAUUAUGACCCGAGAGCGGCGGCGCCCCCCAGAGGCUGAUGCGCUGGUGGACUGGUCUAGGCUGAUAGCGCCCCCGCAGCCCAGGACGAGACACGUGCACUGCCACUUGUGUCGCCCCAAUGGUCGCCUGGAGCACGUGGUGGUGACCGCCCACAAACAUGGACGAGACGUGUAUCGCUGCGCCCGGAGCAGUGAAUGGGGUGACCAACUUCCUCUGGUUCAGGACAACUGACCAAAAUAUUGAAGAGUGAUGAUGAUGCGGAAACAACAACAUGCUAAUAAAAUCCAGCAACAUGCUGCUUAAGAAAUUA